rnacentral:rRNA from 1 species
UGGGGAAUAUUGCGCAAUGGGCGAAAGCCUGACGCAGCAACGCCGCGUGAGUGAUGAAGGCCUUCGGGUCGUAAAGCUCUGUCGGAGGGAACGAAUGCUCCUGAAGUUAACAGCCUCAGGAGGUGACGGUACCUCCUUAGCAAGCACCGGCUAACUUCGUGCCAGCAGCCGCGGUAAUACGAAGGGUGCAAACGUUGCUCGGAAUUAUUGGGCGUAAAGGGCGCGUAGGUGGACAUAUAAGUAAAUUGUGAAAGACCCGGGCUUAACCUGGGAAGGUCAAUUUAAACGGUAUGUCUGGAGUGGAGUAGAGGGAAGUAGAAUUUCCGGUGUAGCGGUGAAAUGCGUAGAUAUCGGAAGGAAUACCGGUGGCGAAGGCGUCUUCCUGGACUCUAACUGACGCUGAGGCGCGAAAGCAUGGGGAUCAAACAGGAUUAGAUACCCAAGUAGUCCCUGAGCGGGCUGGCAAGGCGCAU